UGAGUACCUGCUGAACUUAAGCAUAUCAUUAGGCAGAGGAAAAGAAAGCAACUGCGAUGCCUUUAGUAAUUGCGAAUGAAAUGGGCGUAGCUCGUAUGAAGCAAACUGACUUCGUGUCAGUGAUGUGCUGGUGCGGCAGUAGCAUGCGAAGACGUGUGCGCCAUGUGCAAGUGAAAUCUUGUGCCAAGCGGGUGACAGUCCCAUGCUGGCGUACCCGACCUCGGGCAGUGCGCUGCACACGGUGUAUGCACUUUGUAAGUGGUGCAUCGCUUAGGUGGUAACCAUCACCUAAUGCUCAACAUUGGAUUGAUGUCAAUAGCGAACAAGUACCAUGAGGGAAAGAUGAAAAGAACUUUGAAAAGAG
rnacentral:rRNA from 1 species